GGGUCCGACGGGACAUAACG
rnacentral:tRNA from 1 species